rnacentral:misc_RNA from 1 species
UCAUCAUCCUCCACAUCAAAUGGGCAAGGAAAGUCAGGAUCAUCAAAAUCAUCCUGAAAAGACCUGCUAGAACUUCUGGAAAAUGAAAUUUGUGGAGAGCUGUUGGAUGAUGUCUUCACCCCCAAAUACUUUCUAAUAUCAUCUUUUCCAAGAGAGGACAACUUCUCAAUUGAUGCGCCAGUCUGAACAAAACCUGUGCUUGAAUCAGUCCUGGGAUUACUGGAUCUGGUACCUUUGAGGUUAGGAGAUGGAGGCAAAUUUUGCUUGUUGCACAACACAGGGGAACUAGCAAGUUUGCCUGCAGGUAUGCUAACUGGUGCACUUUCAGACUGUAAAAGAGCCUUAGAAAGAUGACUCCCACUCCCAGGAAUAUAGAUUGGUGGUGAUGGCGAUGGGGAGGGUGUAAAGUUAGGGGAAGGGCAAUACUCAUCAAAGCCCAUAUUCUUCUUAUAAACUGAAGAUGUUUCAGGUGGAUGAGGCG